rnacentral:rRNA from 1 species
CCUACGGGAGGCAGCAGUGGGGAAUUUUGGACAAUGGACGAAAGUCUGAUCCAGCAAUGCCGCGUGCAGGACGAAGGCCUUCGGGUUGUAAACUGCUUUUGUACGGAACGAAAAGGUCUGCCUUAAUACGGUGGGCUCAUGACGGUACCGUAAGAAUAAGCACCGGCUAACUACGUGCCAGCAGCCGCGGUAAUACGUAGGGUGCAAGCGUUAAUCGGAAUUACUGGGCGUAAAGCGUGCGCAGGCGGUUAUAUAAGACAGAUGUGAAAUCCCCGGGCUCAACCUGGGACCUGCAUUUGUGACUGUAUAGCUAGAGUACGGUAGAGGGGGAUGGAAUUCCGCGUGUAGCAGUGAAAUGCGUAGAUAUGCGGAGGAACACCGAUGGCGAAGGCAAUCCCCUGGACCUGUACUGACGCUCAUGCACGAAAGCGUGGGGAGCAAACAGGAUUAGAUACCCUGGUAGUCCACGCCCUAAACGAUGUCAACUGGUUNUUGGGUCUUCACUGACUCAGUAACGAAGCUAACGCGUGAAGUUGACCGCCGNGGGAGGUACGGCCGCGAGGUAGAACGUACGAAAGAGUAGUAGACGCGAGACGUAGCCGACGGACGACGACGAGGGAGGAGGG